UAAGAAAAAAUAAGAGAACUAUACAAAUUUAAACCAUCCCGCGCUGUUUUUAUUAAACAAUGGCCUACGAGUUGGUUCAUCCACAAAUAACAAGUUUAUGUGGAAUUCCUUUUUCACUGCAUCGGAGAAAAUUGGUGCAAUUACUUUUUUUGUACCUUCAUUAAAUCCAAACACAUUUAUGCUAAUGCAUGGAUCUUGCACCGUGCACUAUUUUACAUCGUUUGACCCCAGUGCACUGGAAAACGUGAUUAAAAUAUUGUGUUGGGAUACCAUCAUCAUAAAGUUUACUAUUUGGCUACAC